UGACCCAAAUACAAGUCAGAAGUGCUUGUG
rnacentral:piRNA from 1 species